GGCUCAGAGUAUCACCUCUGCCUUCUCCAGAAGGGUGUCCUGAACCCAAGGCCCAGUCCCAGCUCUCUAUGUUCCACCCUUCCUGCACCCAACAAUCUGG